rnacentral:rRNA from 1 species
AGGACGAACGGCUGGCGGCGUGCUUAACACAUGCAAGUCGAGCGAGAAAGCCCCUUCGGGGGUGAGUACAGCGGCGAACGGGUGAGUAACACGUGGGCAACCUGCCCCGGAGACUGGGAUAACGUCCCGAAAGGGACGCUAAUACCGGAUGAUGCGUGACCUGCCAAGUGGGUCACGUCAAAUGGUAGCCUCGGCCUCUGCUCCGGGAUGGGCCCGCGCCGGAUUAGCUUGUUGGUGAGGUAACGGCUCACCAAGGCGACGAUCCGUAGCUGGUCUGAGAGGACGAUCAGCCACACUGGGACUGAGACACGGCCCAGACUCCUACGGGAGGCAGCAGUGGGGAAUCUUGCGCAAUGGGCGAAAGCCUGACGCAGCAACGCCGCGUGAGCGAAGACGGCCUUCGGGUUGUAAACCUCUGUCAUGGGGGAAGAAGGAAGUGACGGUACCCCAAGAGGAAGCCCCUGCUAACUACGUG